GAGUUUGAUCCUGGCUCAGGACGAACGCUGGCGGCGUGCCUAACACAUGCAAGUCGAGCGAGAGACUUCGGUCUCUAGCGGCGGACGGGUGAGUAACACGUGGGUAACCUGCCUCAUAGUGGGGGAUAGCCUUCCGAAAGGAAGAUUAAUACCGCAUAAUAUAGUUUAAUCGCAUGAUUGAAUUAUCAAAGGAGUAAUCCGCUAUAAGAUGGACCCGCGGCGCAUUAGCUAGUUGGUGAGGUAACGGCUCACCAAGGCGACGAUGCGUAGCCGACCUGAGAGGGUGAUCGGCCACAUUGGAACUGAGAUAC
rnacentral:rRNA from 1 species